ensembl:lncRNA
AUUGCGGCGACCGUGGAGACUUUUAAAAUAGAGGCCAACAUGACCGGGCAAGAAGAGCAGGGUCCUUCCUUCAGGUGUUUGGGACUCAACUGAGGGUGUGGGUGCCCCGCGGUGGGGGCUGAACCUUCCUGGGGUGUGGAGAGACGAAGGAGCCCAGAUCCAAGUUCCUUCGUUCCCGCUUUGGCACAAGUUGCCCGGGCGGUCUCAUGAGAGAGAGAGAGAGCUGGGACCCUCCUGGCCCCAGUGAGUGUGGUGUCUUGCUCCGGGUGUCCUGGGGCAACUUUCUAUAUAAAGGCGGGACGUGGGGAGGAUGAGACAGUUAACGUGAGACAAGGGUGUUGACUGUGCAGCGCAGAACCAGUAGUUUGUAGAGAAGAACCAGGUGUGAUGUUGAAUCUGCUAGACAGGCUACUGAAGCAAAAGUCAAGAGAUCCAGAUCCCAUCAUGGGGACACUUUAGAUUGAUACCGGAAAAGCCAUUUCCUAUUGAGCCCAAAAUGAAGAGAGUGCAAAUAAAGAGAAGGCAGGAAUCACAAGCCCUUGACAGACACAUUGCCACCUACAGGACCCUGCACCCAGAUUUCAUCUGCACAAUCAGCUUCUUCAAAGAGAGAGAGGCUGUCAAGUUAUUCAGUCACAUGAUUAUGGAUGGUCUCUUAGUUUUCUGCCACGGACAGCUAAUUGCUUCAUGGUAUGUGUUUUACACAUCACCCUCAGAGGGCCAGUUCAUCUCAAAGAGCCUUAAGAUUCCUCCCUCGGUCUCUGUGUAGUGAUGUUACUUCCCUACUGUCACUUUUAAAGCAAGCAAAACUCCUGACAAUGGGGAGAUGCUUUGUUUCCCAAACUGGGCAGAAUUCCACAAAUCACCCUUGUAUGAGGUUAGUUCCUCUAAUUCUUAAUAUUUCUCAGGUGGUGGCCUGAAGACUGAAGGUGUUUUGCUUUCAGGGGAAGGCAAGAGCCUGAGGGGAGGAGUGUGUGGAGGCAUUUCUGGUAUGCAGGACCAGCCUAAGCAUGCUGGUUGCCAUAGAAACCUACCAUCAUUAUGGCAACCAUGACACUUUUUAUCUUUUUUUCUUUUUUAAUUUUUUAAAAUUUCAAUAGUUUUUGUGGAACAGGUGUUUUUUGGUUACAUGGAUGAGUUAUUUAUUGGUGAAUUCUGAGAUUUUGGUGCACCUGUCAUCUCAGCAGUAUAUACUGUACCCAAUAUAUUGUCUUUUAUCCCUCACUACCCUCACAAUAUCCCCCUCCCCAAGUCCCCACAGUCCAUUAUAUCACUCUAUAGAGUGAUUUUUGCAUCCUCAUAGCUUAGCUCCCACUUAUAAGUGAGAACAUAUGGUAUUUGGUUUUCCAUUCCUGAGUUAUUUCCCUUAGAAUAAUGGCCUCCAGUUCCAUCCAAGUUGUUGCAAAAGACAUUAUUUCAUUCCUUUUUAUGGCUGAAUAGUAUUCUGUGGUGUAUAUAUAUGCCACAUUUUCUUUAUCCACUCUUUGGUUGAUGAGCACUUUGGUUGGGUUCUAUAUCCUUGUAAUUGCGAAUUGUGCUGCUAUAGACGUGCAUGUGCAUGUGUUUUUUUCAUGUAAUUACUUCUUUUCCUUUGGGUAUGUAGUAGUGGGAUUGCUAGAUCGAAUGGUAAAUCUACUUUUAGUUCCUUAAGGAAUCUCCGUACUGUUUUCAAUAGUGGUUGUACUAAUUUACAUUCCCAGCAGCAAUGUAAAAGUGCUCCGUUUUCACCACAUCCAUGCCAACAUCGAUUGUUUUUUGACUUUUUAAUUAUGGACAUUCUUGCAGGCAUAAGGUGGUAUCUCAUUGUGGUUUUAAUUUGCAUUUCCCUGAUGAUUAGUGAUAUUGAGCAUUUUUUCAUUAUUUUUGUUGGCUGUUUGUAUAUCUUCUUUUGAGAAAUGUCUAUUCAUGUCCUUUGCCUACUUUUUGAUGGGAUUAUUUCUUUUUUCUUGCUGAUUUGAGUUUCUUGUAUAUUCUGGAUAUCAGUCCUUUGUUGGAUGCAUAGUUUGAAAGUAUUUUCUCCCACUCUGUGGGUUGUCUGUUUACUCUGCUGAAUAUUUUUUUUUUUUAGCUGUGCAGAAGCUUUUUGAUUAGGUCCCAUUUAUUUAUUUUUGUUUUUGUUGCAUUUGCUUUUGGGGUCUUAGUUACAAAUUCUUUGCCUAAGCCAAUGUCCACAGGAGUUUCUCUGAUGUUAUCUUCCAGAAUUUUUAUGGCUUCAGGUCUUAGAUUUAAGUGUUUGAUGCAUCUUAAGUUGACUUUUGUAUAAUGUGAGAGACGGGGAUCCAGUUUCAUUCUUCUUCAUGUGGCUAGCCAGUUUUCCCAGCACCAUUUAUUGAAUAGGGGGUCCUUUCCUCAAUUUAUGUUUUAGUAUGCUUUGUCAAAGAUCAGUUCGCUAUAAGUAUUUGGCUUUAUUUCUGGGUUCUCCAUUCUUUUCCAUUGGUUUAAGUGCCUAUUUUUAUACCAGUGCCAUGCUGUUUUGGUAGCUAUAGCCUUGUAGUAUAAUUUGACGUCUGGUAAUGUGAUGCUUCCAGAUUUGUUCUUUCUGCUUAGAAUUAUUUUGACUAUGUGGGCUGGGCAGGUUUUUUGUUUGUUUGUUUGUUUUGUUUUUUUGUUUUUUUGAGAUGGAGUCUCACUUUGUUGCCCAGGCAGGAGUGCAAUGGCAAAAUCUCCACUCAGCACAAUCUCCGCCUCCCAGUUUCAAGUAAUUCUCCUGCCUCAGCCUCCCAAGUAGCCGGGAUUACAGGUGCCCACCACCAGGCCCAGUUA